UACAGAGGGUGCAAGCGUUAAUCGGAAUUACUGGCGUAAGCGCGCGUAGGUGGUUUGUAGUUGAAUGUGAAAUCCCCGGGCUCAACCUGGGAACUGCAUGCAAACUGGCAAGCUAGAGUAGUGGUAGAGGGUGGUGGAAUUCCCAGUGUAGAGGUGAAAUCGUAGAUAUUGGGAAGAACACCGGUGGCGAAGGCGGCGACCUGGUCCUUGACUGACGCUGAGGC
rnacentral:rRNA from 1 species